rnacentral:rRNA from 1 species
GAUGAACGCUGGCGGCGUGCCUAAUACAUGCAAGUCGAGCGAACAGACGAGGAGCUUGCUCCUCUGACGUUAGCGGCGGACGGGUGAGUAGCACGUGGAUAACCUACCUAUAAGACUGGGAUAACUUCGGGAAACCGGAGCUAAUACCGGAUAAUAUAUUGAACCGCAUGGUUCAAUAGUGAAAGACGGUUUUGCUGUCACUUAUAGAUGGAUCCGCGCCGCAUUAGCUAGUUGGUAAGGUAACGGCUUACCAAGGCAACGAUGCGUAGCCGACCUGAGAGAGUGAUCGGCCACACUGGAACUGAGACACGGUCCAGACUCCUGCGGGAGGCAGCAGUAGGGAAUCGUCCGCAGUGGGCGAAAGCCUUACGGAGCAACGCCGCGUGAGUGAUGAAGGUCUUCGGAUCGUAAUACUCUGUUAUUAGGGAAGAACAAAUGUGUAAGUAACUAUGCACGUCUUGACGGUACCUAAUCAGAAAGCCACGGCUAACUACGUG